rnacentral:tRNA from 1 species
GAGAGAGGCCUAAAAGCAGUGAAGACUGCUAAUUUUCACCACCCCGGUUAGAGUCCGGGGCUCACUCG